rnacentral:rRNA from 1 species
ACGUAGGGUGCAAGCGUUACUCGGAAUUACUGGGCGUAAAGCGUGCGUAGGUGGUUCGUUAAGUCUGAUGUGAAAGCCCUGGGCUCAACCUGGGAAUGGCAUUGGAUACUGGCGACCUAGAGUGCGGUAGAGGGUAGCGGAAUUCCCGGUGUAGCGGUGAAAUGCACAGAUAUCGGGAGGAACACCAGUGGCGAAGGCGGCUCGCUGGGCCAGUUCUGACACUCAUCCGCGAAAGCGUGGGGAGCAAACAGGA